AUGGGGGGCUGCUGUGCCCACCGCCACCCUACGGCCCAGCCCGGAGCCCUGCGAGUAUUCAUUCCCACCCUGGUUUGGUACGAGAAAUGUUGUACCCAAAGCACAGCUUUCACACAAUUUAAAGCUAGCUGGGACCAAGAACCUGGAUUUUGGGGGAGAGUUUGCAACCUGCUCCGAAGUUACGUAAUUUUCCUUGUACUUCAGGGACAGGCUUCCAGGCAGCACCCGGCAGGUCUGGUGGGUGGGGGACCCCUCAGUUCAGCUUCUCGCCGUGCCGCACCCGCCCCGAGCGCGGAGGGCGCCUGGACAGCGCGUCAGCCCCGCGCAGCGGCCGCCCCCGCCGCUUCCUCCGCGGGGAGCCGCGCUCGGCGGGAGGAGGAGGAGAAGGAGGAGGAGGUGGAGGAGGUGCCUUCGUGGGCCGGAGCGAGGCAGUGCGGUGCCUCUCUCCCUCCCUCCGUCCUUCCGCCUCCCUCCACGCCGCCGGCGCCAGGGCUCCUUCCGCGACGGCGCCCGGGACUCCCAGGGCUUUGGGUUAUCCCCUGCCCCCUCCACGCAGUUGAGAGAUUGUUCAUGGUCACCGGUGCUUCAGCAAAUGCUGCUGUUCCUUCUUCAAGCCAUGGCUUCAGCUUCCAGCCGUGCUGCUCUAGCCUGAGUUGCUCGCCAGGUCUGCACCUGCAACUUCCCCUGGCUUUGGAGCCCAGCUUCAGGCAGGGCUCAGGUGGUGCCAUGGGCAGGGCUGGCAGAAAGUGAGUAAAGGGGAAGGGAGUGGGGAAAAAGAUUUCUGGAACAGCUUCUCCACAGCCUCUCCCACACCUUUCAUUCCUGCCUCCGUGCCGCUUCAUUUAAUGAGUCUGUGCAGGCAGCUGCCUGUGCUGCAUGAUGAAAUGUCUGGUUGGAUCCCUUCCCUAAUCUGCUUCCCAGCCCGGCAGGAGGAACACCUGCACAAGACAGGACAGUGGUGAGCUGAUGAGGGAGGAGGUCAGCUGUAUUUAAGCUGGCAUUAUUGCAAAGAACAGAGGGAUUGCCUGACUAUGGCUCUGGUGGGACGCUGGAGCCAGAUUUGCAAACAGAGUAGCUAUGGGUGUAUUGGUUUUUAUGUACUCCUAAAUGUGUCCUACAGGUACCAGUCAUGGUGUAGAGCUUAAAGCAGCUUGACAGUACUGAGUAACCAAAACCAUCUGAAUUAAAUUUCUUGAUUUUGAUGGUCAGCAUGAAGUCUUUCUAAACAGAAGUUGGAAGGCAUAUGCUUGGCAGUUCCUAAAAAAUAAGCUUGAGUUCUUUGUUCUCAAACUGACAUCUUCUAAACAACCAUUUGUGUAUGAAAAUUUUCAUUAGUAAAAUUAGGGUAAAUCUGCAAAAUUACUUUUACUGAUCCAUCUUAGGUAUAAAGGGUUGUAGUGAAUGAGGUUACAUCAGUCCGAUGACUGGUCUCUAGUGGAGUUCUCCAGGGCUUCAUUUUAGGCCCAGUGCUCUUCAACAUCCUCAUAAACAACUUGGAUGAAGGAUUGGAAGAAUACUAAAUAAAUUUGCCGACAGUACUAAAUUGGGAGGAGCUGUUGACUUCCUCCAGGGCAGAAAGAGGCCCUGCAGAAAGACCUUAACAAAUUAGGGAGAUGGUUAAUCACCAACCUUGUGAAUUUUAACAAGGGCAAGUGCUGGAUUCUGCACCUGGCCCGGGGCAACUCUGGUUGUGUGUAUAGACCAGGGAAUGUGAAGCUGGAAAGCAGCACUGUGGAAAGAGACCUGGGGGUCCUGGUUGAUGCCAAGUUGAAUAUGAAUCAGCAGUGCCCUGGCAGCCCGGAGGGCCAACCAUGUCCUGGGGGGCAUCAGGCACAACAUCGCUGGCCAGGCAAAGGAGGGGAUUGUCCCGCUCUGCUCUGCACUGGGGCAGCCUCACCUUGAAUAUUGUGCGCAGGUUUGGGUGCCACAAUGUAAGAAAGACAUUAAGCUAUUGGGGAGCAUCCAAAGGAGGGCAGCAAGGAUGAUGAAGGGUCUAGAGGGGAAUCCAUAUGAAGAAUGCCUGAGGUCACUUGUUCUGUUCAGCCUGGAGGAGACUGAGGGGAGAUCUCAUUGCAGUCUACAACAUCCUUAUGAGGGGAAGAGGAGGGGCAGACACUGAUCUCUUCUCUGUGGUGACGAGUGACACGACUGGCCUGAAGUUGUGUCAGGAGACGUUUAGGUUGGGUAUUAGGAAAAGGUUCUUCACUUAGAGGAUGAUUGGGCACUGGAACAGGUUCCCAGGGAAGUGGUCACAGCACCAAGCCUGACAGCUUAAGGAGCAUUUGGACAAUGCUCUCAGACAAAUGGUGUGAUGCUUGAGGCUGUCCUGUUCUGGGCCAGGAGUUUGACUUCAGUGAUCCUUGUAGGUCUCUUCCAUGCAGGAUAUUCUAUGAUUCUAUGAUCUUCAUUUUGUAUAUAGAACUCUUUUGCAAAUGACAUGCAUGCAUGUACAGACCUUAGCAAUUAAAUGUUCUAUACAGGUUAGAAACUUCUAUACAGGUUUGUGGUGAAGAGCAGUUGUGCGCUGCUGUUUGCCUGGAGCACAUUUCAGACUUCUCACCCAUAUUCUCUGUGACACAGGCUGCAGCGUACCUUGUUUCAUCCCAGUCACGUACAGCUUUUGGCUUCCUGGGAAUGUGCCAGUGCAGCCCUCAGCUGAGCAAAGCCUGAACUUUUUAGUCUAAUAAUUAACUUUUGUAAACUUCCAGAUGCUUAGGGUGAGCUGCAGCUUUCUGUAUAUUCAGGCAGUUUCAUUUAUAAGUAGAAGCUCUUUUUGUUACAGAAAUCUCCAAUUCUGUGAUCCUCCAAAGAUCUGAUAAUGU
rnacentral:lncRNA from 13 species